rnacentral:tRNA from 1 species
GCCGAAGUAGCUCAGUUGGUAGAGCGUGUCACUCGUAACGACAAGGUCGCCGGUUCAAUCCCGGCCUUCGGCU